ensembl:miRNA
GUGAGCGGGAGGCCAGGGCACGGCAGGGGGAGCUGCAGGGCUGUUGGAGGGGCCUCAGCGUCAGAGUCCUGUCCUCCCACAG